rnacentral:rRNA from 1 species
GUCUUUUAGAAUUAGAAUUUAAAGUCUAGCCUGCCCACUGAAAAUUUAAAUGGCCGCAGUAAUUUGACUGUGCAAAGGUAGCAUAAUCAUUAGUUUUUUAAUUAGAAGCUAGAAUGAAUGGUUGGACGAGAUAUAAUCUGUCUUUGGAUAAAAAAUAGAAUUUAAUUUUUAAGUUAAAAAGCUUAAAUAAAAAUAAAAGACGAGAAGACCCUAUAGAUUUUUAUAAUAUUGUUUAUAUUAUAGAUUAAGAUUAUUUUAUUUAUUAUAUUUAAUAUUAUUUUAUUGGGGUAAUAGGGAGAUUAAAUUAAUUCUCUUAAGUAUUUUACAAUAAUGUUUGAUUUAUUUGAUCCUUUAUUAAAGAUUAAAAGAUUAAGUUACCUUAGGGAUAACAGCGUAAUUUUUUUGAAGAGUUCAUAUCGAUAAAAAAGUUUGCGACCUCGAUGUUGGAUUAAAAAUUAUUCUAGGAGUAGAAGUUUAGAAUUUUGGUCUGUUCGACCAUUAAAUUUUUACA